AUUGAACGCUGGCGGCAGGCCUAACACAUGCAAGUCGAGCGGCAGCGGAAAGUAGCUUGCUACUUUGCCGGCGAGCGGCGGACGGGUGAGUAAUGUCUGGGAAACUGCCUGAUGGAGGGGGAUAACUACUGGAAACGGUAGCUAAUACCGCAUGACCUCGAAAGAGCAAAGUGGGGGAUCUUCGGACCUCACGCCAUCGGAUGUGCCCAGAUGGGAUUAGCUAGUAGGUGAGGUAAUGGCUCACCUAGGCGACGAUCCCUAGCUGGUCUGAGAGGAUGACCAGCCACACUGGAACUGAGACACGGUCCAGACUCCUACGGGAGGCAGCAGUGGGGAAUAUUGCACAAUGGGCGCAAGCCUGAUGCAGCCAUGCCGCGUGUGUGAAGAAGGCCUUAGGGUUGUAAAGCACUUUCAGCGAGGAGGAAGGCAUCAUACUUAAUACGUGUGGUGAUUGACGUUACUCGCAGAAGAAGCACCGGCUAACUCCGUGCCAGCAGCCGCGGUAAUACGGAGGGUGCAAGCGUUAAUCGGAAUUACUGGGCGUAAAGCGCACGCAGGCGGUUUGUUAAGUCAGAUGUGAAAUCCCCGCGCUUAACGUGGGAACUGCAUUUGAAACUGGCAAGCUAGAGUCUUGUAGAGGGGGGUAGAAUUCCAGGUGUAGCGGUGAAAUGCGUAGAGAUCUGGAGGAAUACCCGUGGCGAAGGCGGCCCCCUGCAUAAAGACUGACGCUCAGGUGCGAAAAUCUGGGAGUAAACAGG
rnacentral:rRNA from 1 species